UGGAAGACCAUUGAUUUUGUUGUUUUAAAACAUGAUCAGCAACGCAUCAUUGUCUUCCAUA
rnacentral:pre_miRNA from 1 species